rnacentral:rRNA from 1 species
GAUGAACGCUGGCUACAGGCUUAACACAUGCAAGUCGAGGGGAAACGGCAUUGAGUGCUUGCACUCUUUGGACGUCGACCGGCGCACGGGUGAGUAACGCGUAUCCAACCUUCCCAUUACUGUGGGAUAACCUGCCGAAAGGCAGACUAAUACCGCAUAGUCUUCGAUGACGGCAUCAGAUUUGAAGUAAAGAUUUAUCGGUAAUGGAUGGGGAUGCGUCUGAUUAGCUUGUUGGCGGGGUAACGGCCCACCAAGGCAACGAUCAGUAGGGGUUCUGAGAGGAAGGUCCCCCACAUUGGAACUGAGACACGGUCCAAACUCCUACGGGAGGCAGCAGUGAGGAAUAUUGGUCAAUGGACGGAAGUCUGAACCAGCCAAGUAGCGUGCAGGAUGACGGCCCUAUGGGUUGUAAACUGCUUUUGUAUGGGGAUAAAGUUAGGGACGUGUCCCUAUUUGCAGGUACCAUACGAAUAAGGACCGGCUAAUUCCGUGCCAGCAGCCGCGGUAAUACGGAAGGUCCAGGCGUUAUCCGGAUUUAUUGGGUUUAAAGGGAGCGUAGGCUGGAGAUUAAGUGUGUUGUGAAAUGUAGACGCUCAACGUCUGAAUUGCAGCGCAUACUGGUUUCCUUGAGUACGCACAACGUUGGCGGAAUUCGUCGUGUAGCGGUGAAAUGCUUAGAUAUGACGAAGAACUCCGAUUGCGAAGGCAGCUGACGGGAGCGCAACUGACGCUUAAGCUCGAAGGUGCGGGUAUCAAACAGG